UACGUAGGGGGCAAGCGUUGUCCGGAUUUAUUGGGCGUAAAGAGCGUGUAGGCGGCCAGGUAGGUCCGUUGUGAAAACUCGAGGCUCAACCUCGAGACGCCGAUGGAAACCCCCUGGCUAGAGUCCGGAAGAGGAGAGUGGAAUUCCUGGUGUAGCCGUGAAAUGCGCAGAUAUCAGGAAGAACACCCGUGGCUAAGGCGGCUCUCUAGUACGGUACUGACGCUGAGACGCGAAAGCGUGGGGAGCGAACAGG
rnacentral:rRNA from 1 species